rnacentral:rRNA from 1 species
UACGAAGGGGGCUAGCGUUGCUCGGAAUCACUGGGCGUAAAGGGUGCGUAGGCGGGUCUUUAAGUCAGGGGUGAAAUCCUGGAGCUCAACUCCAGAACUGCCUUUGAUACUGAAGAUCUUGAGUUCGGGAGAGGUGAGUGGAACUGCGAGUGUAGAGGUGAAAUUCGUAGAUAUUCGCAAGAACACCAGUGGCGAAGGCGGCUCACUGGCCCGAUACUGACG